ensembl:antisense Gm13546 predicted gene 13546
GGGAGUCACUCUGCCACCUGUAGAGGAUGUCUUUGAACAUGUUUUGAAAUGUGGUUUCCCUGAGGGAAUAAAGGACAGUAUGGAAUUUGUGGAAUUUGAAGAACAGUGAAGAUCAUCUAGUGCUGCCUCAACACCCUGAGGUGCUCUGUGCCACUUUCCAAGCAAGUAGUAGAUGGUUAAUUAUUUACUUGUUCCAUGGGCUCCUGAAGGACUUAGGUGCAGAGAGAAAUACAUUUCAGUGUUGUUUGCUCUAAGUACUGUAGUCUGUAAGUUUUAUACAGGUUUAUAAAUAUAAUUCUUUUUCCUUAAAAAAUCAAUCAAUCAAACAAACAAACAUGUUAUUUCUUGCGGAGAAACUCCAACAAGAUUUGCAAAGAAACAUCCCAAAUUGGUAUGUAAGC